rnacentral:lncRNA from 1 species
AGAUUUAUAGAACUAGAAGACUUUGAAGAUUUUAAGUAAAAUAAAUAAAUAAAUAAUAGUAGAAUAGUAAACCCUGGUUCACUUUACCAAAACAAAAAACCCUGAUUCAUUAGUAUAUGUUUGGUUUGGCUUUUUCAAGCCCCAAACGUGCGUUUUCAAUCUCGAGACGCAAUUUUAACACAUUUUUGGAUGUUUGGAUAACCUGCAAACGUGAUUUUAGUCCCAAACGUGAGUAAUUUUGAAGCCACAAUUUUGAGCUUCCACGUCAAAGAAAAAUCAAUUCCAGACAAUUAAUUUUCAGUGACAUGUGAACUUACCUACUUACCCAUAACUUUCUUUCUUCUUCAAGUUUUGAGCAAUGAAGAAAAGAUAGAAUGAAAAAGAAAAAAGAAGAUUGAGAUAUGGGGGAUCGAAAUCAGGUAGAAGAGUAUUAAGAAAUCGGUGGAGAGAUCCAUCUUUACGAAUGUUCUGGUAGAUGAGUGGUGGAGAAAUUAAGCUUAUUGAGAAUUUUAAUAGGAUAUUUUGUUUUCUAAUGUUGGGUAGUAGUAGUGGGUUUUUGUUUUUGAUAGGCGCUUGGGUAGUAGUAGUAGUAGUGGGUUGGGUUUUUAUUGAUUUUUUGUUUUGUUUUUCUACUUAUGCGUUGGAGUAUUUUGUUUUUGUAGUGGGUUUAGUAUUUUGUUUUAAAAAUUAUUAUUAUUAUUUUAAUUAAUGAGAUAAGUGAGAGAUGGGGUCACAUUUUAAAAUUAAAAGAAUAAUUUUGUUUUAAUUAACGACUAUUGGGCCUUUUUUUGUUACCAUUACCUUUUUUUUUACUAU